AGGAGAGAAGGAGGAUUCUGGGAAAUGUAGUAAAGGGAGGAGUCGCCAUGUGAUCCUAGCAAGAGAGGACUCAUGCCACCAUUGUCCUUGAUAAGGGUAAAAUUUGCCAUUGUUUCAUGCCUGCUGCACACUACACAGUGGUACCUUGGUGAGGACUCCACUCACAAAUCAAGGGAGCAAGAGUGAGCCUGUUCGCAUGUGAGCUCCCAUGAAAGAUCUGUGAAGACCCCACGGAACUGUGUAAAUCUCAAGAGGAUGACAGCCAGACUGAGACAGUACAACACCACUUGCUCUACAUGCUUCCCAUAGCCUUAUGUGUUAGAUGUGGUUAGGCUGGACCAUAAACUGUAAGUUCUUGCCCUGUUUUAACGAGUAUGUGACACAGCCAUUGGGAGAAUAAAGCAAAAUUCUGAGCUAAAAAUGAACAUGCAAA